rnacentral:piRNA from 1 species
GACUUCAGUUCUUGUGCAAUGAUACAAAU